CAUAAUCCUAAAAUGUCAAUGCAUGUGAUAAUAAAGUUAGACAAUAACGAACGUUAAAAUUGUAGGAAUAUGGUACAUUAUUUUAUUUAAUUAGGCUGGAUAGCAAUAUUUUGCGGAUGUUUAUAGGUUUACAGUGAUUCAAGCGGAGUAUGGAUAAGACCGAUGUUAAAUCGACGCAAUUGGAGGCCAGUGGCUUUAAACCAAAAAUUGUUGUAUCUCUAGAUGUCGGAAGCACCUAUUCGGGAUACGCCUGGCAAUGGAAAAAGGAUAAUGAUAGUUGCAAAGACAUAGUGGAAAUGAACAUGAAUUGGGAGUAUGCUCCAAUCCAGGCCAGUAAACUAAUCCAUUUUCUAUUGAGUGUUUCAUUUAUAUUUUUGCAAGCGUAAACAUUUUUUCUUGUCUCUUAUAAAAGGAUAAAAUAUUCAUCAAAAUUCAUUUUUUUCUAAUAACUAAAAUAGGGUUAUAUGAUUCAAAGCAAAUUAAUGCAUCUAAUAUUUCACGACAAAAAUGUGCAUAUACGAGAACAUUACUUUAGUGUUUCAUGAGAAGUUUUAAUAACUUUGAUGCGGAAGUUUAGAUAAGAGAAUUUGAAAAUACUGCAUAGCUAAAAAUGAUUGGAGACUAGAUUCUUGCAUGUUUAUGAUUACAGUUCAUCAUUUUAAAUUGCUUCUGAUAUUGAUGUUAAGGUCAACAAGUUGAGUAUUGUUUAGUAAUAUAACCCCAUACCAUUGUCUCUAUUUCAAAUUAGUCGUCUACAAAUUUAGAAUACAUGUCUUCUCAUUAAAAUUUACUUUACGGCCAAAAUCUAUAAUUAUUGUUAUGUUGUUAUCUACACAUGUACAAAU